GCCAGACUCCUACGGGAGGCAGCAGUGGGGAAUAUUGGACAAUGGGGGGAACCCUGAUCCAGCGACGCCGCGUGAGUGAAGAAGUAUUUCGGUAUGUAAAGCUCUCUCAGCAGGGAAGAAAGAAAUGACGGUACCUGACUAAGAAGCCCCGGCUAACUACGUGCCAGCAGCCGCGGUAAUACGUAGGGGGCAAGCGUUAUCCGGAUUUACUGGGUGUAAAGGGAGCGUAGACGGCGACGCAAGUCUGGAGUGAAAGCCCGGGGCCCAACCCCGGGACUGCUCUGGAAACUGCGUCGCUGGAGUACGGGAGGGGCAGGCGGAAUUCCUGGUGUAGCGGUGAAAUGCGUAGAUAUCAGGAGGAACACCGGCGGCGAAGGCGGCCUGCUGGACCGUGACUGACGUUGAGGCUCGAGAGCGUGGGGAGCAAACAGGAUUAGAUACCCUAGUA
rnacentral:rRNA from 1 species